UGAAUAUAGACGGGAAUAGGCGUCGAGAGACUUAAUCUGGAAUUCGGUGAGGAAUCGCUGAUAAAAUGAAGUCCGUCAGAUUGGCACAGAUUUUUUGACCUGUCAAGGAGACAAACCGAACGCAUAGCAAAGGCUAUGUGGAGGGUUUGUCGACGCAGAGAGGACGAAAAAGAUGUGCUGAGAUGACGGUGCUGAGUUUAUCAGCGGCUCCUCGAAGCCGAAGCGGUCCCGCCACUGUAAGGAAGAGUCUGCACAUAUCAUGUCACUGGAGCAAUCUGGGAAGGCUUGUGCAGGCGAUGACACCAAGCCAGGAUACUUACCUAUUCUAACAUCACCGU
rnacentral:ncRNA from 2 species